rnacentral:piRNA from 1 species
UGGGUCUGAUAGUUCCCACUU